rnacentral:rRNA from 1 species
UACGUAGGGUGCAAGCGUUAAUCGGAAUUACUGGGCGUAAAGGGCUCGUAGGCGGCCAACUAAGUCAGAUGUGAAAUCCCUCGGCUUAACCGGGGAACUGCGUCUGAUACUGGAUGGCUUGAAUCCGGGAGAGGGAUGCGGAAUUCCAGGUGUAGCGGUGAAAUGCGUAGAUAUCUGGAGGAACACCGAUGGCGAAGGCAGGUCUCUGGGCAUUAACUGACGCUGAGGAGCGAAAGCAUGGGGAGCGAACAGG